UACGUAGGGUGCGAGCGUUAAUCGGAAUUACUGGGCGUAAAGUGUGCGCAGGCGGCUGAGCAAGUCGAGUGUGAAAGCCCCGGGCUUAACUUGGGAAUUGCGCUCGAAACUACUUGGCUGGAGUGUGGCAGAGGAGGGUGGAAUUCCACGUGUAGCGGUGAAAUGCGUUGAUAUUAUGGGGAACACCAAAAGCGAAGGCAGCAGACUGGAGCACUCCUGACACUGAAACAAGAAAGCGUGGGUCGCGAAUGGG
rnacentral:rRNA from 1 species